AGGCCAAGCUCUUUUGCCAAGACCGUCCGCUUCGUCUCUUGGGGUCUUCGUCCACGUUUCAUGGGACUUCAUGAUGGACCCGCAGCCUAAGUUUCAGUCUUGUUUCAUAUAACGUCUGAUUGCGGGGACAUGGCUUGCAUCGAUGUGGCAGGCACGUGUUAACGCAGUACAAAGACGCUGCUGCAUCGAGUACAGGAGCACACGUCAACGCGUCGAGAAAAAAAAAAAGCGCGACGUCACCGUCAUCUGUAAUCUAAACACGAAGGCGCAUAAAGGCCUCCAAGAGUCGCACGAACUAUCUCGGAGGCAAUGACGCACCGUUGAUGGUCGCGCAGCGCGAAUGCCCACGCCUGCACGUGACUGCUGCGUCUUCCGCCACAGCGCGCGCAGCACCUGUUUGUACCUGUGCGCUAGCGUACGUUCGUAUCAAACGUCGUGGGGUACAAACCGAUUCGCAACAACCGUACUCCAAUACAUUACAGGCUAAUGGGCAUUGGCCGGGACCAAAGAAAAAUUCGUAACACCCCGAAAUUCGUACGAGCCGUGAUCGUAUCACCGAGGUUUUACUGUAUCUGCACAGAUCCGUAACACUUGCAGAACGUGCACUUGCAGCAGCAAGGUGUGGCUACAAGUCUUAAACCCGACAUAAGGAGUAGCCUUUGACAGCAGGCAUCUCAAGUGCCCGACACCAGCGCUCAUUGGAAUCUGCAAGCUGACAUGCAACUUCGUCAACAGAGUGAUGAAGUCAGUGGAUCUGAGAAGGAGUGGGAACUGUGCAUUUUGUUUUGCUCCACACUGUUACCACACAUCAUCCAGUGUCCUGUAUUAAUGUGUGAAGCGAACGCCCCAGAGUAUUCGAAGGAACUUUGUGAAAUACUUUUGAGGAAGUUGCUCCAACCUUUGCCUUGAAAUUGGACUGGCAACGUCAGUGCAGCGGUUGAGUGGCUUUUAAAGCUGUCCAAAAACCACUGUCACAUGUUUUGAGGCUGUGAGGAGAGUUAACGAGAUUCAGUAAAGGUGUAAAAUCGAACAAAAUAAAAGAACAAUGCCAGGUGAAAGCCCUGACUUAGUAUUAAGUAAACCCAUGGUUUUUUUUUUCUCAUUUUAUUCUCACUGUUGGAAUUCAACAUGGAGUUAAAGUUACAGUCUGGGAAAUUCCCAAGUGGCUCAAAUCAUCUCUAUGAGAUUGUCACGCACAUGUUAUAAGCAUUAGUUCAUGGUGGUGGUGUGUGGUACUUUAUCGUAUGUGCACUGUAAAAAUGUUUGGAGAACGGAAAUGGUAUUAUCUUAUUUGAUAUUAAACUGUGGCAGCGGCACUUUUCGAA
rnacentral:lncRNA from 1 species